rnacentral:rRNA from 1 species
AUUGAACGCUGGCGGAAUGCUUUACACAUGCAAGUCGAACGGCAGCACGGGGCAACCUGGUGGCGAGUGGCGAACGGGUGAGUAAUACAUCGGAACGUGCCCAAUCGUGGGGGAUAACGUAGCGAAAGUUACGCUAAUACCGCAUACGAUCUACGGAUGAAAGCGGGGGAUCGCAAGACCUCGCGCGAAUGGAGCGGCCGAUGUCAGAUUAGGUAGUUGGUGGGGGUAAAGGCUCACCAAGCCAACGAUCUGUAGCUGGUCUGAGAGGACGACCAGCCACACUGGAACUGAGACACGGUCCAGACUCCUACGGGAGGCAGCAGUGGGGAAUUUUGGACAAUGGGCGCAAGCCUGAUCCAGCCAUUCCGCGUGCAGGAUGAAGGCCUUCGGUUGUAAACUGCUUUGUACGGAACGAAAGGUACCUGGUUAAUACCUGGGCUCAUGACGGUACCGUAAGAAUAAGACACCGGCUAACUACGUAGCCAGCAGCCGCGGUAA